AAGAGGCUGUGAGUUUAAUUUUCAGGAGCACUUUGCCCCGAGGGAGAAUAGCUUUCAGAUGACAGUUUGCUCUCACCAGUUCAUUAUGACAUGAGAGAAAAUCCCUGGACUUCAGUGUCACUCUUUAACUGAUAGAGGGUGUGUCCACUGAAGGUCAGCUGUCUCUGUCCUCUUCAGGAAUUUAUUCACAAUGCUCCUAAAGCUACCAUGACGUCACCCAUUGGUUUGUGGACUCCUGUUUUGGAGCCUGGACUUCAGCAUUUCGG